rnacentral:misc_RNA from 1 species
GAAAAUAAUUGCAUUAUCGGAAGAAAAAUUGAGUUCCAUGAUACAUUGAAGCCACGAAAGUUAAGGUUAGGGACGAUUAGAGGCAUUCAUAGCAGAUCAUCUAGAUUUCGUAUCCUACACUACAGACCAAAACUAUUGGGACCUGGAAGAGUACCACGAAUGAGUUGUGGAACGCCGACUUCAGUGACAUUGAACAGCAGUGCCUCAACCAGGUUCAGGUAGUUGC